rnacentral:rRNA from 1 species
UACAGAGGUGGCAAGCGUGGUUCGGAAUUACUGGGCGUAAAGGGCGCGUAGGCGGUCAGGUCAGUCCCGUGUGAAAUCCCUCGGCUCAACUGAGGAACUGCACGGGAAACUGCCUGGCUUGAGUUCGGGAGAGGGAAGCGGAAUUCCGGGUGUAGCGGUGAAAUGCGUAGAUAUCCGGAGGAACACCGGUGGCGAAGGCGGCUUCCUGGACCGACACUGACGCUGAGGCGCGAAAGCUAGGGGAGCAAA